UACGUAGGGGCAAGCGUUGUCCGGAAUUACUGGCGUAAAGCGCGCGCAGGCGGUCUUCCAAGUCAGUGGUGAAAGCCCGGAGCUCAACUCCGGAACUGCCAUUGAAACUGUUAGACUUGAGGACGAGAGAGGUGAGUGGAAUUCCCAGUGUAGAGGUGAAAUUCGUAGAUAUUCGCAAGAACACCAGUGGCGAAGGCGGCUCACUGGCCCGAUACUGACGCUGAGGCACGAAAGCGUGGGGAGCAAACAGGG
rnacentral:rRNA from 1 species